UGGGGAAUUUUGGACAAUGGACGCAAGUCUGAUCCAGCCAUGCCGCGUGCGGGAAGAAGGCCUUCGGGUUGUAAACCGCUUUUGUCAGGGUAGAAACGAGUUUCUCUAAUACAGAGACUUAAUGACGGUACCUGAAGAAUAAGCACCGGCUAACUACGUGCCAGCAGCCGCGGUAAUACGUAGGGUGCAAGCGUUAAUCGGAAUUACUGGGCGUAAAGCGUGCGCAGGCGGUGAUGUAAGACAGAUGUGAAAUCCCCGGGCUCAACCUGGGACCUGCAUUUGUGACUGCAUCGCUGGAGUGCGGCAGGGGGGGAUGGAAUUCCGCGUGUAGCAGUGAAAUGCGUAGAUAUGCGGAGGAACACCGAUGGCGAAGGCAAUCCCCUGGACCUGUACUGACGCUCAUGCACGAAAGCGUGGGAAGCAAACA
rnacentral:rRNA from 1 species